GCGAUGAUGAGUAAGGUUAGCUCGCUAUGCACAUUGCCAUAGUCCGUAAGGUUGUAGGUUCGAAUCCUGCCAUCGCCA
rnacentral:tRNA from 1 species